rnacentral:rRNA from 1 species
GAUCAUGGCUCAGGAUGAACGCUGGCGGCGCGCCUAACACAUGCAAGUCGAACGAUUAAAGCACCUUCGGGUGUGUAUAAAGUGGCGAACGGCUGAGUAACACGUGGGCAACCUGCCCCUCUCAUUGGGAUAGCCACGGGAAACCGUGGAUAAUACCGAAUACUUCGAGACUUCCGCAUGGAAGACUCGAGAAAGCUCCGGCGGAGAGGGAUGGGCCCGCGGCCUGUUAGCUUGUUGGUGGGGUAACGGCCU